ACAUUCACAUAAAACAUUUUCAGAAUCAGCAUACUCCAAAUACAAACAUACUUCAAAAUCAUACAAAUUGGUCCAGUGGUUCAAAAGAUAGAUCGUAAUCCUUUGUGACCACAGGAAGCAUGGCUUUUCUGCCCAAAACCAGUUCCACAGAGUCUUCUAUCCUGGAGAUAAUUGUGAAGUAAUCCAAUUAUCUCCAAAGACAGAGGCAAAACUCCAUUGAACACAUGGCAG